ensembl:snoRNA
UGCGCUGUAUGGUAUCUGCAGCCAGCCCUCACCACAGGCUGUUCUGUUCAUAACACAGUGCGAGAGUGACUCUGCAUCUGGCAUCAUUAGGCUCCUGGCUGGUCUGUGCCUGGAGCCCUGGUAUUUGUGCUGAUACAAAC